rnacentral:rRNA from 1 species
UACGGAGGGUGCAAGCGUUAAUCGGAAUUACUGGGCGUAAAGCGCACGCAGGUGGCUGAGAAAGUCGAUUGUGAAAGCCCUGGGCUUAACCUGGGAAUUGCAGUCGAAACUACUCGGCUAGAGUAUGGGAGAGGGUAGUGGAAUUCCCGGUGUAGCGGUGAAAUGCGUAGAUAUCGGGAGGAACAUCAGUGGCGAAGGCGGGUCUCUGGGCCGAUACUGACGCUGAGGAGCGAAAGCGUGGGGAGCGAACAGG